GGGUAGGGGAGCGUCGUGUGCCGGGUGAAGCAGCCGUGGAAGCGAGUUGUGGACGGUUCACGAGUGAGAAUGCAGGCAUGAGUAGCGAUUCACACGUGAGAAACGUGUGCGCCGAUUGACUAAGGGUUCCUGGGUCAAGCUGAUCUGCCCAGGGUAAGUCGGGACCUAAGGCGAGGCCGACAGGCGUAGUCGAUGGAUAACCGGUUGAUAUUCCGGUACCCGCUGUGAAGCGUCAAACAUYGAAUCCAGUGAUGCUAAGCCCGUGAAGCCGUUCCGGACCCUUCGGGGAAUGGAAAGUGGUGGAGCCGGUGGCCCGAGCUGGUAGUAGGUGAGUGAUGGGGUGACGCAGGAAGGUAGUCCAUCCCGGGCGGUGGUUGUCCCGGGGUAAGGGUGUAGGACGUCAGGUAGGUAAAUCCGCCUGGCAUAGAGUCUGAGACCUGAUGCCGAGCCGAUUGUGGUGAAGUGGAUGAUCCUAUGCUGUCGAGAAAAGCCUCUAGCGAGUUUUAUGGCGGCCCGUACCCUAAACCGACUCAGGUGGUCAGGUAGAGAAUACCGAGGCGUUCGGGUGAACUAUGGUUAAGGAACUCGGCAAAAUGCCCCCGUAACUUCGGGAGAAGGGGGGCCAUGUCUGGUGAUGAGUCUUGCACUCUGAGCUGGGUGUGGCCGCAGAGACCAGCGAGAAGCGACUGUUUACUAAAAACACAGGUCCGUGCGAAGCCGUAAGGCGAUGUAUACGGACUGACGCCUGCCCGGUGCUGGAACGUUAAGGGGACCGGUUAGUCACAUUUCGGUGUGGCGAAGCUGAGAACUUAAGCGCCAGUAAACGGCGGUGGUAACUAUAACCAUCCUAAGGUAGCGAAAUUCCUUGUCGGGUAAGUUCCGACCUGCACGAAUGGCGUAACGACUUCUCGACUGUCUCAACCAUAGGCCCGGUGAAAUUGCAUUACGAGUAAAGAUGCUCGUUUCGCGCAGCAGGACGGAAAGACCCCGGGACCUUUACUACAGUUUGAUAUUGGUGUUCGGUUCGGCUUGUGUAGGAUAGGUGGGAGACUGUGAAGCAUGCACGCCAGUGUGUGUGGAGUCGUCGUUGAAAUACCACUCUGGUCGUGCUGGAUGUCUAACCUGGGUCCGUGAUCCGGAUCAGGGACAGUGUCUGAUGGGUAGUUUAACUGGGGCGGUUGCCUCCUAAAGAGUAACGGAGGCGCCCAAAGGUUCCCUCAGCCUGGUUGGUAAUCAGGUGUUGAGUGUAAGUGCACAAGGGAGCUUGACUGUGAGACCGACGGGUCGAGCAGGGACGAAAGUCGGGACUAGUGAUCCGGCGGUGGCUUGUGGAAGCGCCGUCGCUCAACGGAUAAAAGGUACCCCGGGGAUAACAGGCUGAUCUUCCCCAAGAGUCCAUAUCGACGGGAUGGUUUGGCACCUCGAUGUCGGCUCGUCGCAUCCUGGGGCUGGAGUCGGUCCCAAGGGUUGGGCUGUUCGCCCAUUAAAGCGGUACGCGAGCUGGGUUUAGAACGUCGUGAGACAGUUCGGUCCCUAUCCGCUGUGCGCGUAGGAAUAUUGAGAAGGGCUGUCCCUAGUACGAGAGGACCGGGACGGACGAACCUCUGGUGUGCCAGUUGUUCUGCCAAGGGCAUGGCUGGUUGGCUACGUUCGGGAGGGAUAACCGCUGAAAGCAUCUAAGCGGGAAGCCUGCUUCGAGAUGAGUAUUCCCACCUCCUUGAGAGGGUAAGGCUCCCAGUAGACGACUGGGUUGAUAGGCCGGAUAUGGAAGCCCUGUAAGGGGUGGAGUUGACCGGUACUAAUAGGCCGAGGGCUUGUCCUCAGUUG
rnacentral:rRNA from 1 species